CACGUAGGGUGCGAGCGUUGUCCGGAAUUAUUGGGCGUAAAGAGCUCGUAGGCGGUGUGUCGCGUCGGCCGUGAAAACCUGCAGCUUAACUGUGGGCUUGCGGUCGAUACGGGCAUCACUGGAGUUCGGCAGGGGAGACUGGAAUUCCUGGUGUAGCGGUGAAAUGCGCAGAUAUCAGGAGGAACACCGGUGGCGGAGGCGGGUCUCUGGGCAGUAACUGACGCUGAGGAGCGAAAGCGUGGGGAGCAAACAGG
rnacentral:rRNA from 1 species